rnacentral:rRNA from 1 species
CGAACGGAAGUUUAAGCAAUUAAACUUUAGUGGCGAACGGGUGAGUAACGCGUAAGCAAUCUGCCCCUAAGACGAGGAUAACAGUUGGAAACGACUGCUAAGACUGGAUAGGAGACAAGAAGGCAUCUUCUUGUUUUUAAAAGACCUAGCAAUAGGUAUGCUUAGGGAGGAGCUUGCGUCACAUUAGUUAGUUGGUGGGGUAAAGGCCUACCAAGACUAUGAUGUGUAGCCGGGCUGAGAGGUUGAACGGCCACAUUGGGACUGAGACACGGCCCAAACUCCUACGGGAGGCAGCAGUAGGGAAUUUUCGGCAAUGGAGGAAACUCUGACCGAGCAACGCCGCGUGAACGAUGAAGUAUUUCGGUACGUAAAGUUCUUUUAUUAGGGAAGAAUAAAUGAUGGAAAAAUCAUUCUGACGGUACCUAAUGAAUAAGCCCCGGCUAACUAUGUGCCAGCAGCCGCGGUAAUACAUAGGGGGCAAGCGUUAUCCGGAAUUAUUGGGCGUAAAGGGUGCGUAGGCGGUUAAAUAAGUUUGUGGUCUAAGUGCAAUGCUCAACAUUGUGAUGCUAUAAAAACUGUUUAGCUAGAGUAAGAUAGAGGCAAGUGGAAUUCCAUGUGUAGUGGUAAAAUGCGUAAAUAUAUGGAGGAACACCAGUAGCGAAGGCGGCUUGCUGGGUCUUUACUGACGCUGAGGCACGAAAGCGUGGGGAGCAAACAGGAUUAGAUACCCUGGUAGUCCACGCCGUAAACGAUGAGUACUAAACGUUGGGUAAAACCAGUGUUGAAGUUAACACAUUAAGUACUCCGCCUGAGUAGUACGUACGCAAGUAUGAAACUUAAAGGAAUUGACGGGACUCCGCACAAGCGGUGGAUCAUGUUGUUUAAUUCGAAGGUACCCGAAAAACCUCACCAGGUCUUGACAUGCUUCUGCAAAGCUGUAGAAACACAGUGGAGGUUAUCAGUUGCACAGGUGGUGCAUGGUUGUCGUCAGCUCGUGUCGUGAGAUGUUGGGUUAAGUCCCGCAACGAGCGCAACCCUUAUUGUUAGUUACCAGCACGUAAUGGUGGGGACUUUAGCAAGACUGCCAGUGAUAAAUUGGAGGAAGGUGGGGACGACGUCAAAUCAUCAUGCCCCUUAUGACCUGGGCUACAAACGUGAUACAAUGGCUGUUACAAAGGGUAGCUGAAGCGCAAGUUUUUGGCGAAUCUCAAAAAAACAGUCUCAGUUCGGAUUGAAGUCUGCAACUCGACUUCAUGAAGUUGGAAUCGCUAGUAAUCGCGAAUCAGCAUGUCGCGGUGAAUACGUUCUCGGGGUUUGUACACACCGCCCGUCAAACCACGAAAGUUGGCAAUACCCAAAGCCGGUGGCCUAACUUCGCAAGAAGAGGGAACCGUCUAAGGUAGGGUCGAUGAUUGGGGUUAAG